UGGGUAACCUGCCUCAAAGAGGGGAAUAGCCUCCCGAAAGGGAGAUUAAUACCGCAUAAUAUGUUUAAGUCGCAUGACUUUAACAUCAAAGGAUUUUUCUUUUAAGAAAUUCCACUUUGAGAUGGACCCGCGGCGCAUUAGCUAGUUGGUGAGGUAACGGCUCACCAAGGCAACGAUGCGUAGCCGACCUGAGAGGGUGAUCGGCCACAUUGGAACUGAGACACGGUCCAGACUCCGUAGGGA
rnacentral:rRNA from 1 species